rnacentral:lncRNA from 1 species
CACGUGUGUGGCUUCCUGCUCCCUGCUCUGCAGCGAUGGGUGGUGGGGCAGGCAGCAACCUCGCCACAGGGGCAUUCUCCAUAUAGGUGACCCUUACAGAGCUGGGCUCCUCUAGGCACGGGGCUGUGAGCCGCCAGCCACAGAAGAGCCUCAGCCCAGCUCUGCUCCUGCCCAACAUCUGUAUAUCCCUGCUCCCUGCUCUGCAGCGAUGGGUGGUGGGGCAGGCAGCAACCUCGCCACAGGGGCAUUCUCCAUAUAGGUGACCCUUACAGAGCUGGGGUCCUCUAGGCACGGGGCUGUGAGCCGCCAGCCACAGAAGAGCCUCAGCCCAGCUCUGCUCCUGCCCAACAUCUGUAUAUCCCUAGGGUCUGCCCAAACUAAUGCAGCUUCAUCGUGAGCCAGAAGGGUCGUGGGGGGCAUCCACUCUCCCCGAGCCAGGGGUCUAAGCGCUUGGCUGGCAGGAGGCAGCUGCCAAGGGCCAGCUCUCUCCUUCCACUCAAGGCUUGCAGGACUGGAGCUCCCGAUUUCAAACACAGCCCCAGAGAGCAGCAGAAGUCACCACCUCCCCUCCUACUCCCUAGUUCCCUGCUCCUCCACCAUGGAGGCGGCCCAGCUUCAGCCCUCCCUCCCAGGAGGGCCCCCAGACCGCCAAACCAGCUACCAGGGGCAAAGCCAGCCUCCUGAAAGGUGAUACCAAAAAUCCUGCACAGGACUCCUGGAGCACCCCAGGAAAACAUCCCUGCCUGUCCCUGCUCCACCCCAUGGGCAAGUGACAGAAGUCCAAGCUCUCAACUCAGUGUUGCAUCCCUGAAGCAACCAAGCCUUCCAGGAAAGGGUCACAGGAACAUCAGGCUGUGAGUGGGUGAGCACAUCACAGACACUGCAGGCAGGAGUUUGGGACAGCACAGCCAGACUUGCUCAGUCACACAACCUACAUGAGGCUCAUGGCAAAAAAAUGUUCAUUAUUUCCACUCUGUUGUUGCAGGAAUCUGCUCCAAAAGCCUGAGACCAGGCCAGCUUGUGGAGCAAGGUGCCCAGGACACAUGUCCCAGAGCAGGCCACAGCAUCUCCAGAGCACCGGUACCCAGCAGCUCUGCAGUCAGCCAGACCUCCACUGCAAAGGUCAGGCUUCUUUUGAAUAGAAACCGAAAUUCAGAGAGCACGGUUUUCCAACCGGAUUUGAGAUGACAGAGGUUUUAGAUGUAUACUGGCUUUGGAAGAAACAAAUUAAGAAAAUUUGAGUGUGUGUUUGAACACGACUGAUUUAUAACCCCGAGGAUGCACUGGCACCAUUAUGGAGCUGAACUAAUGGUCUCUUCACCCCCAGUCUUUAAAGCUUCUAGAGCUAAUAGACCUCAUCCUCUGCUGCCAGGCUUUAUUUAGAGAUUAAAAGGAGCGUCUGCACCGCCAAACUCUUCUGUGUGCACGCGAUUYCUCCACUUUGAAGGGACUAAAUGAACUGAAACAGUCAAAAGACUUCACAGGGGCCCGCGGUUUCCCCACUUCGGGGCUGCAAUUUGCACUGAUCGUGGCAGCMUGAGCUGCUCGUGUCCUGCUGUAAACAAAUGUAAGAGAUCACAUGGGGCUGGGCAUUAAGAGAUUAUCCUGAUUAAAAAUAAACCUGCUUUUAAAAAACA